ensembl:lncRNA
AUGUUGGUCACAACACUCCAAUGGGUGAUAUUGGCCAAAAUGCUUUAUCAGAGCAGUGGCUGUUGGAUCUGUGACUCAUUCAGCACUCCUCACAUUGGACAAGAUUUGGAAGCAACCUGUGUGUCCAUCAGCAGAUGCUUGGAUAAGAAAAUGUGGUAUUUCUACACAGUGGAGUACUAUUUAACUGUAAAAAUGAAUUGCCAAACAUGGAUGAAACUGGAGAUCAUUUUGCUAAGUGAAAUAAGCCAGGCACAGACAGACAGACAUUGUGUAUUCUCACUUAUUAUGAGACUGAUAAAUCAAAACAAUUACACUUAUGGAGACAGAGAGUAGAAAGGUUGUUACUACAGGCUGGGAAGUGUACUGGGUGUGUGGGGUGGGAGUUGGGUAUUGUUAAUGACUAUGAAAACAUAAUUUGAAAGAAUGAAUAAGACAUAGUAUUUGAUAGCACAACAGAGUGACUAUAGUCAGUAAUAAUUUAAUUGUGAUCUUGAAAAUAAAUACAAGAGUAUGAUUUGAUCAAUGCUUGAGUGGAUGGAUAUCCAGUUUUUCAUGAUGUGCUUAUUAAACAUUGGAUGCCUAUGCCAGACUAUCUCACAUAUGCUAUAAAUAUAUAUACCUACUGUAUGCUCACAAAAAUUAAAAUAAGGGUAUUGGAUAAUGAUCAAAGGGUCAGUCCAUCAAGAAAUUACAAUUGCAAUGCAUAUGGACAUGUCAUCAGAGGCUUCUCAGCCCAGGCUGACAUAAUGGAGAAAAAACAUAGACAAUUGAAUGGUAAUAACCAGGCACUUCAAUGCCCCCAUUUGCUCUAAAGAAUAAAACAACUCAGCUGAAGUGCGACAAAAAAUAAAAUCUUUAAAAACACUAUAUAUGCACUAGACAACAUAUCUACGGAGAAUUCCACCAACCAAAAAAAACAGAGUGCAUAUUAUUUUUCAGGGAACAAGAAACUUUAUGAUAGGUCAUAAAACAAACUCAAUAAAAUUAAAAGUAUUACUAUCUCAAAAACUAGACGCUAUAAACACAUUGAAAUUAAAUUAUAAUUUGAUAACAGAAAGAAAUUUGUAUAAUUCACAAUCUCUGGAAAAUACUGAAGUCACUUUUAAAUAACAAAUGCAUCAAAGGGGAAAUCACAAGAGAACUUAGAGAAUAUCUUGAGAUAAAUUAAAAUAAAAAUACAAUAUACCAAACAUAUAAAAUGCAGAUAAAGCAAUGCUUAAAGUAUAAUUUAUAACAGUGAACACCUCUAUUUACAAAAAAGAAGAUAGUAUCUAAUAUCUACUAUAGACAAUGGAAAAACAAGAGCAAACCACCACCUAACUUAGUAAAAUGAAGAAAUAAAAACCAGAGCAGAAAUAAAUGAAGUAGAAAUAGAAAACAUUAGAGAAAGCCAGUACUAACAAAGUUGGCUUUUAAAAAUGAUUAGCAACACUUUAGUCAGCUGGACUGACUAAAAGUUAAAAUGUGUAAAUUACUGAAAUUAGAAAGGAAAGAGUAUGAAUACCAAUUUGCAAAUACAAAAAUAAUUAUUAGGGAACAUUAUGAACAAGAAAGAUACAAACUAUUGAAUUUAAUUUCAGAAAAAAAGAAAGCUGGAUGUGUGAGAAAGAAUGUCUGUGCAGUAAGUCAAAUGAGUGUGGGAUUUUGCAUUGGAAUUCAAUGCUGGUCUUGCUAUAGUCUAACAGAGAACUGGGAAAAAAUUCUCAGUUGUUGAUUUUAGGCUGGUGCCCACAAAGGAAGCAUUUAAUAGCCAGGCUAUUCCAGAGGACAGUUUAUCACCCCUGGGGAAGGAAACCAAGACCUGACUCAUUUCACCAGUAGCUGAAUAAAGUGGUCUUCGUCCCUGAAUAAAUUCUGGUGUCAGCCAGGCCACGGUGACCAUGGUCCUUGGAUGAGCCCCAGUGCUGUGCUGAUCCGGGAGGCUGUGGGCUCAGGGCACAACCCACUGUGACAAAAACUGUUGCAGCUCACAUUACCCCCCCUUCAACUACAGGCAAUGUAGUGUGGAGAGAGACUUCUUUUACUUGGAAAAAGGAGAGGGAACAGUACAGGGACAUUUUCUUGCAACAUAGUAGCAGCCCUGCUGCAGGAAAUCAUAGCACUGAGAAUCAAUGUCCCAGAUUCCAGGCAGUUGCUUCAGAAUAGCAUUUCUAGACUGAGUCCAGGAUCAGGAAAGAAUCCACUGCCCCAGUGAGAUGGACUCAAGUCCUGUUCCACUUCACCACAGGCUGAUGAAUGUGGCCUCAGGCCUUGAGGAAACAUCAGCAGUAGUCAGUCAGUAACAGCUGUGAGCCUUAGGUGAGGUCUGGUACUUCACUGAUAUGGGAAGGUGUGGGAUUUAGGUGCAACCCAGUACUAUCCAAGCUGUAGUGGACAUGGGUGUGCCUGUGUCUCUGUUAUCUUCCUCAAGUUCAUAAGGGCUGAGUAUCUGUGAGUCUACAAGGGUUAUAAUAUUUCUGUCUUAGUGCAUCCUCUAGUAACAGUGUAGUCAGUGUUCACAGGCUAAGGAAAUUCAAUAGUGAAUCCUCUUUGAAUUAUUGGAAGACUCUCUGAAGAAAAGGUACAAAAAAAGCCAUAUCGACCUAACUUGUUAAUACACAGAUAUUGAUUAACAUCUACAAGCAUCAAGAACUUUCAAGGAAAUAUGACCUCACCAGAAAAUCUAAAUAAAGUGCUGUAGCUGACAUUAGAGUGACGAAGAUGUAUGACCUCUUAGACAGAAAAUUUAAAAUAGCUGUCUUGCAGAAGCUCAAUGAACUUCAAGAAACACAUAGAAACAAU